rnacentral:tRNA from 1 species
GCCGUGAUUGUAUAGUGGUUAAUACUCUGUGUUGUGGACACAGCAACCUCGGUUCGAAUCCACAUCGCAGCA